UGUCUUCUCAGACGAAUGAAUAUUUUAUAUUUGCUUUGUCAUAUCUGUUAGGCAUACAAAUCUAUACUCAUAGAGUUAUAUAGUUUGACCUGAUUGACAACACCACAAUGUCCCUGUCCGGAAACUCUGUGUGUCCUCACGAUGUCCUCACUGUGUUGUUCUGUCUUCUGACAGUAUCCCAGUCGUACGGAUGCCCCGCUACUGGAUGUUACGGGUCAAACAAUACCCUCCCCUGUCCAGACAUUAACUGUCAGUACUGUCACAUAGAGACGGGCACCUGUCAGGGCUGUAAACCUGGGUACAAAGGUCACCGAUGUGAAAUGGGUAAAUUUGCAGAUCUGUAG
rnacentral:sRNA from 1 species